CCUACGGGAGGCAGCAGUGGGGAAUUUUGGACAAUGGGCGAAAGCCUGAUCCAGCCAUUCCGCGUGAGUGAAGAAGGCCUUCGGGUUGUAAAGCUCUUUCGCAAGGGAAGAAAACUUAGAUACUAAUAUUAUCUGAGGUUGACGGUACCUUGAUAAGAAGCACCGGCUAACUACGUGCCAGCAGCCGCGGUAAUACGUAGGGUGCGAGCGUUAAUCGGAAUUACUGGGCGUAAAGCGUGCGCAGGCGGUUUUGUAAGUCAGAUGUGAAAUCCCCGAGCUCAACUUGGGAACUGCGUUUGAAACUACAAGACUAGAAUAUGUCAGAGGGGGGUAGAAUUCCACGUGUAGCAGUGAAAUGCGUAGAGAUGUGGAGGAAUACCAAUGGCGAAGGCAGCCCCCUGGGAUAAUAUUGACGCUCAUGCACGAAAGCGUGGGGAGCAAACAGGAUUAGAUACCCUGGUAGUCCACGCCCUAAACGAUGUCUACUAGUUGUUGGUGGAGUAAAAUCCAUGAGUAACGCAGCUAACGCGUGAAGUAGACCGCCUGGGGAGUACGGUCGCAAGAUUAAAACUUAAAGAUUAGUAGG
rnacentral:rRNA from 1 species